UACAGAGGGUGCGAGCGUUGUUCGGAAUUACUGGGCGUAAAGCGCGCGCAGGCGGCUUCUUAAGUCCAUCGGUGAAAUGCCGGGGCUCAACCCCGUUGCAGGCCGAGGAUACUGGGAGGCUGGAGACGAGUAGAGGCAAGCGGAAUUCCGGGUGUAGCGGUGGAAUGCGUAGAGAUCCGGAAGAACACCGGAGGCGAAGGCGGCUUGCUGGGCUUGGUCUGACGCUGAGGCGCGAAAGCGUGGGGAGCGAACAGG
rnacentral:rRNA from 1 species